rnacentral:rRNA from 1 species
AGUGAACGCUGGCGGUAGGCCUAACACAUGCAAGUCGAACGGCAGCACAGUAAGAGCUUGCUCUUACGGGUGGCGAGUGGCGGACGGGUGAGGAAUACAUCGGAAUCUACUUUUUCGUGGGGGAUAACGUAGGGAAACUUACGCUAAUACCGCAUACGACCUACGGGUGAAAGCAGGGAUUCUUGGACCUUUCGCGGAUGAAAGAGACGAUGUCGGGUUUGCUAGUUGGGGGGGUAAAGGCCCACCAAGGCGACGAUCCGUAGCUGGUCUGAGAGGAUGAGCAGCCACACUGGAACUGAGACACGGUCCAGCCUCCUACGGGAGGCAGCAGUGGGGAAUAUUGGACAAUGGGCGCAGGCCUGAUCCAGCCAUACCGCGUGGGUGAAGAAGGCCUUCGGGUUGUAAAGCCCUUUUGUUGGGAAAGAAAAGCAGCAGGUUAAUACCCCGCUGUUCUGACGGUACCCAAAGAAUAAGCACCGGCUAACUUCGUG